AGUGCACUGCCGAACGAUAACGUCAACGGAUGGCUUCGGCGACAGACACGCUUUCCGUUUUACCCGAAGAUAACCGUACCGGCGCUCGCAGAUAAGUUUGACGGUGGUGCGGGACACUUGAGGCUUGAAAAGACCAAUCGGGGUUGCGGUGUACCGGAGCAUUCGAUCGAGCGAGACAAGCGAGAGACGGUAAAGUUGUCUAGCAAACAGACAACAUGGGAGUUAUUUUGGAGGCAUGCUGUUGAGUCUUCACGCCGUUUUGUGUCUCGUAAAGAGUAAGGAUGUUAUAAAAAAAACCUUGGAGAAUUGCCUCACCCAAAAAGCGCAUGCAUGCGAUACUGCUUCUCCUCAUCAACUCCACGAAGCCGUUCGCAGGCGCUAAAACGCUUUUGCAUGGUUUUGCUGGCGAGCAAUCGUGUGGCUUCCUUCUUCAUACUAGCUCCAACCGAUUGAGAUACCGAGCGAGAACAGACCGGCCCCGGGGGUUUCCUGUACGCUUUGUCAUCGCGUCUCCUGUCGGCCAGCGGAAGCCUUUGUCUUCGGACACAUGUUUUGCACUGCCCAGUGCUCCGAACGUACGCGAAGGACAUGCACAACUCACCUCAACAUCCACACGAGGAAGAUGGAGCUAGUCGUAGUAGAUUUAAGUUUCUCUGUUACUCUUUCGGUCAGCCUUCGAUGCAACCUGUAGGUAAUCUGUGCCAGUUCCUGAGCGCCUGGUACGCUCUAAGCAAUCGUUUCUAAUAUAUGCUCGUAUGGAGCGCGGAGCAGAUAGAUACUGUUUGUUGCAGUCGGGUUCAGCGUUUUUUCCCCCUUUUUAAUAAUUCAGUCAAAACGAUUUAAAAUCUCUAUAUUUGCAACUCUCUUAAAUGAUUAAAUUUUGUAUUCACCGCAUGAUGAUCACAAUUUUUAGAUAGAAUAAAAAAAAGGAAGCAAUAAAUUAGUUCAACGGUUACAACCACCAGACAGAUGGUGAGGGUUUCAUGCUUUUAAGGCAUUUUGAAGAGCAAAAACCUACCAUUAUUCAUUUUUAUUAACAAUUUUUUUUUUGUUUUGUCCUGCAAAAUCAGGAGCUUCUUCAAAUCAUAGAUUCGAUGUCGUUUAAAAAUAAUCUCUUUAAUGUUUUAUCCUUUGCUGUCCUAGGAGAAAACUAGGACAACCUGUUAGGGGGAACAAAAAACACCAAUUGAGCCGACCAAAUGCAUAGCUACGGUCCCCGGGCCUCCCACUAACCGCAAACAUAAUGUUACGCUUGUUGCAACGUGUACAUUCUAUCUUUUCAUUUUUUUCUUUUUUGCCCAUCUCCUUUGUCAUCCAUUUUCCCUGUUUACCAACUCACCAAGGGCAUAUGAUAAACGUCGAACGGCCGGUAAGUGAAACGGGAAAUUCGAUUUUCUCUAUUGAAUUAGCUGCAAAAAUGUAUGGUAAGUGCAGCUACUGGUAGGCCAUUCUCACGGCCAUAGGCACGAUGUGCUAGUUUCAAAAAUAAAACAAAACCAACCGAUCCAUUGUCGAGCCUUCAGGGUGGACCCUUACGUACAGCGAGAAAAAAUAGUUCGUUCAGUAAUAUAUGUACGUGACACACAAGAUACACUGGAGUGCCAAUUUUCCUACCUAAACCAGCUAGUUGUGAGAGUGUGUUUUAGUUUUUCGUGUACGUGCCUCUUUCACUGCAUUUACUUUAAUUAAAUUAACUUAUGAAGAAAACUUAUAAGAUUUCUUUUCUCUCCCCGGGGUAGAAAGCAUCAUGUAAUCUAUACCGGUGGGUUUUACCGCUUUAUACUAGGCACCGGUUCUAUGGGUCGCAAUAGUCGCGGACGGUUGCACUAGCAAGUGUCGUUUGUUGAUUAGUCCGGUGGGAAAGAAAACUCAUAGCUGAAACGAGCGUGGCUCAAAACACCCCCAGAACCAUUCAAUCAAUCGAUGGAUGUGUUCGUCAGAAGCCUUAGCAGUGGAGAACCGUUUUGAGUACAGCGGUUCCCUUUAUUGUGAAAUGAAUGUUUCGGUUUGUUUCUCGAAAUUUUGCCUCCAGAGCUUUUAUGACAUAACGUUAGCUGUAAAAAAAUGGUGAGAAAGGUAAAAAUUUCGGUUAUUAUUUUAUUAGUAAAAUUAUCAGGAUUUUUUUAAACAAAUUGAAUUGAAAUCAAAAUUAGCCGAAUACUGUGCAUUGCAGAGCAA